rnacentral:rRNA from 1 species
CCUACGGGAGGCAGCAGUGGGGAAUAUUGCACAAUGGGGGAAACCCUGAUGCAGCGACGCCGCGUGAGUGAAGAAGUAAUUCGUUAUGUAAAGCUCUAUCAGCAGGGGAGAAAAUGACGGUACCUGAGUAAGAAGCCCCGGCUAACUACGUGCCAGCAGCCGCGGUAAUACGUAGGGGGCAAGCGGUAUCCGGAUUUACUGGGUGUAACGGGAGCGUAGACGGCAGUGCAAGUCUGGAGUGAAAGGCGGGGGCUCAAACCCCGGACUGCUCUGGAAACUGUACGGCUGGAGUGCAGGAGAGGUAAGUGGAAGUCCUAGUGUAGCGGUGAAAUGCGUAGAUAUUAGGAGGAACACCAGUGGCGAAGGCGGCUUACUGGACUGUAACUGACGUUGAGGCUCGAAAGCGUGGGGAGCAAACAGGAUUAGAUACCCCGGUAGUC